rnacentral:rRNA from 1 species
UGGGCUUGACAUCCCACGAACCUUCCGAAAGGGUUGGGUGCCCGCAAGGGAGCGUGGAGACAGGUGGUGCAUGGCUGUCGUCAGCUCGUGUCGUGAGAUGUUGGGUUAAGUCCCGCAACGAGCGCAACCCUCACCCCUUGUUGCCACCGGGUAAAGCCGAGCACUCUAGGGGAACUGCUAGCGUCAAGCUGGAGGAAGGUGGGGAUGACGUCAAGUCAUCAUGCCCCUUACGCCCUGGGCUACACACGUGCUACAAUGGCCGGUACAAAGGGAUGCAAGACCGCGAGGUGGAGCUAACCCCAAAAAACCGGUCUAAGUUCAGAUUGCAGUCUGCAACUCGACUGCAUGAAGGAGGAAUCGCUAGUAAUCGCGCAUCAGCACGGCGCGGUGAAUACGUUCCCGGGCCUUGUACACACCGCCCGUCACACCACGAAAGCCGGCUGUACUCGAAGUCGCUGAG